GAUAGAAAAAAAAAUCAAAAUAUUUCUGUUUAUCCUGGCAGGUUACUAUGGUUCCAGGCAGGCCUGGGUGACGUCAUGUUUUGGAUCUCUGUGAGCCUUUAUUUAGGAGUCCAUAGAUUUUCUCAGACUGCUGCCAGAGGGGUCUGGGGCACAAAAAAAAGAUGCCCGAACUAGCCCAACUCCAACAUCUCUUCUACUCUCGAUGCUAGCAAGUGCUCAAUUGAGUGGAUGGGCUUUGCAGACCCAUCCUCCCUGCAUCAUAAAGUCAUCGUGCAGAGAAAAAGGAGACCGAGAUGCAAAAGCACUUUAAGAUGCUACACAAAUAGAGUAUGUGGGCAGGACUGGACAAAACUCUAGGGCAGUGAUGAAUUCCAAACUCUUCUACAGAAUGCCAGGAUUCCAGAGACAAGUCUCCAUGACUUCUUUGAAGAAAAUUAGUGGUCUAGUCCACCACCUUUAGACACUACCCUACCCCACCAUGGCUCCAGGGUAGGAAAAACAAGCCAAAAUGGGCUUUUGUAAAUAUAUGGUAUAUACUUUUACAAAUAUAUAGUAUAGUUCAUCAAUUUUUUAUCGCUGUCAUCCACUCUAAAAAUGUCAGUUUUCUUUGUGGUUGUCACCCCCACCAAGUGACUUUUUUGGGAGCUCUGCAAUGUCAGCUUUCUCUUUCAGUCGAAGAAUAGAUCUUAAGGGGUAGAACAGUAGAAGAAGAAAGAGAAGAGCCUAGUAGAGACAGGGGCACCUAAGGGGAGACAAAGUUAUCGUAACAAUGAGGCAACUUAUCAUUUCCACUACCAGCCAGCCUCCUCAGGAUUCCCAACUAAGUCCCCAUGCAGGUCCUAACCCAUAAUCUAAUGCUGUGAUUCUCAAAGCAUGGUCCUAUCCACUCACUCCUGCCCAAAUACUCUUUUUAAAAAGUGUGAAGCUCCUCCAAGUGGGCCUCAGGUUUGGAUUGUAUUACUUAUAUAUAC